GAUGAACGCUAGCUACAGGCUUAACACAUGCAAGUCGAGGGGAAACGGCAUUUAGUGCUUGCACUGAAUGGACGUCGACCGGCGCACGGGUGAGUAACGCGUAUCCAACCUACCCAUUACUGUGGGAUAACCUGCCGAAAGGCAGACUAAUACCGCAUAGUCUUCGAUGACGGCAUCAGAUUUGAAGUAAAGAUUUAUCGGUAAUGGAUGGGGAUGCGUCUGAUUAGCUUGUUGGCGGGGUAACGGCCCACCAAGGCGACGAUCAGUAGGGGUUCUGAGAGGAAGGUCCCCCACAUUGGAACUGAGACACGGUCCAAACUCCUACGGGAGGCAGCAGUGAGGAAUAUUGGUCAAUGGGCGCGAGCCUGAACCAGCCAAGUAGCGUGCAGGAUGACGGCCCUAUGGGUUGUAAACUGCUUUUGUAUGGGGAUAAAGUCAAUCACGUGUGAUUGUUUGCAGGUACCAUACGAAUAAGGACCGG
rnacentral:rRNA from 1 species